rnacentral:rRNA from 1 species
UACGUAGGUGGCAAGCGUUGUCCGGAAUUAUUGGGCGUAAAGCGCGCGCAGGCGGUCCUUUAAGUCUGAUGUGAAAGCCCACGGCUCAACCGUGGAGGGUCAUUGGAAACUGGGGGACUUGAGUACAGAAGAGGAAAGCGGAAUUCCACGUGUAGCGGUGAAAUGCGUAGAGAUGUGGAGGAACACCAGUGGCGAAGGCGGCUUUCUGGUCUGUAACUGACGCUGAGGCGCGAAAGCGUGGGGAGCAACAGG